rnacentral:rRNA from 1 species
UACGGAGGGGGCUAGCGUUGUUCGGAAUUACUGGGCGUAAAGCGCACGUAGGCGGCUUUGUAAGUUAGAGGUGAAAGCCCGGGGCUCAACUCCGGAAUUGCCUUUAAGACUGCAUCGCUAGAAUUGUGGAGAGGUAAGUGGAAUUCCGAGUGUAGAGGUGAAAUGCGUAGAGAUUGGGAAGAACACCGGUGGCGAAAGCGCUCUACUGGGCCUGCACUGACACUCAUGGACGAAAGCUAGGGGAGCGAAAGGG